rnacentral:tRNA from 1 species
GGAGUUAUAGCUCAGUGGUAGGAUGCUUACAUACCAUGCACGAGGUCCUAGGUUCAAACCCUACCCCCCCCC